GGACUACCAGGGUAUCUAAUCCUGUUUGCUCCCCACGCUUUCGCGCCUCAGCGUCAGUCUAUGGCCAGGAGCUCGCCUUCGCCACCGGUGUUCUUCCAGAUAUCUACAGAUUUCACCCCUACACCUGGAAUUCCAGCUCCCCCUCCUACACUCAAGCCUUGCAGUUUCCAGCGCACUCCAACAGUUAAGCUGUUAUCUUUUACACCGGACUUGCACGGCCGCCUACGCGCCCUUUACACCCAAUAAUUCCGAACAACGCUCGCCCCUUACGUAUUACCGCGGCUGCUGGCAC
rnacentral:rRNA from 1 species